UGAAAAUGCAAAGCUUUAGUUGAUCCAUGAAAGAAAAUUGAGUGUUUAGAGAAAGGAUGAAGAGGAGAGUUGGGCCGGCCUUAGGUUCUCUUCUGCUGCAUAUCAUAGCCCAAGACCCAACUCUGAAAUACCUUUUGGGCUUAGAGCUCACCGCUGACGCUGAGGGAAGGGAGCCCGUCGUCUCUCGUCUCGGCUGGCCGCCGCCGGAGGUUGAGACACAAGAGGCGCCGGGAGCAUUCUCCAUUCUUGACCUUCGCCUCCACUAGUCCACUCCCUCGUUGAUCAAGUAGGGAGGAGUGCAGUGGAUAUGUGGCGGCGGCAGCAGACUCUCCUCCGCCGGCUGCCACCGCUGAGGGUGGUGGCGCAGGCUCCGGCAUCCUGGCCGGCCUGCCGGCUGGGACGCUUCUGCGGGUCUGUGCCGGAGAAGAGGAAGGGAAAGGCGGCGCCUUUGCAGGCGCGGGGCAUGGUGGACAGGUUCCGGAUGCGCGCCAAGGGUGGCGACGGCGGCAAUGGAUGCGUCAGCCUCAGGCGCUCUAGGUCCAACCGCCAGGGCAUGCCUGACGGUGGUAGUGGAGGGAAGGGCGGUGAUGUAAUUCUUGAGUGUUCAAGGUCUAUCUGGGAUUUCAGUGGCUUGCAGCAUCACAUGAGAGGAGGCCGAGGUGGCAAUGGAGUUUCUAAGAAUCAGAUAGGAACAAGAGGUCCUGACAAGAUUGCACAAGUACCUGUAGGCACAGUGAUUCAUCUUGUCGAAGGCGAGCAACCUUCUCUGACAGUAAAUAAACCAACCAGAGCUCUGGAUCCCUGGGAUAUACCUAGUGCUGAAGAACACUCUUCAGAUUUGGACCAGAUUGUUAAUAUAGUGGCAGAAGGUUUUGAUGGUGGCUUGUCCCAUCGGCAUAUUGCCCCUAAGCAUAACACUGAUGGAAAUGACACUGUAAAGGGAAGCAGCAGUCACUCAGAGGAUCCAAAAUACUUUCAUACAUGCUCCAAGCUUCAGUUCUCAAACUCUAAUCGUGAUGUAAGAAUCUAUUCAUGUCAGGAGGGGACAGAUGAAAAAGAUCAAACUGAAAGUGAGGAUGAAGAAUUUUGGGAGGAUGAAGACGAGUUUGACAUGGAUGAGGAGGAAGAAGAGGAUGAGAAGGAAGAACAAGAUGUGCAAUAUUGUGUUGCUGAGAUGACGAAACCUGGGCAGCGGUUAAUCAUAGCACGAGGAGGCAAAGGUGGACUGGGGAAUGCUUUUGUCAUGAAGGAGAUGCGGCCAUCCAAAGCAAACAGACAAGAGAAGAUAGCCCGUUUGAGUACUGGGCAGCCAGGAACUGAGAGCAUCCUUAUCCUGGAACUGAAGAGCAUUGCAGAUGUUGGUCUGGUUGGAUUGCCCAAUGCUGGGAAGAGCACAUUGCUCAGUGCUCUAUCUAGGGCGCAACCAGAGAUAGCUGACUACGAAUUCACCACGCUGAGGCCCAACAUUGGCAGCCUGACCUACGAGGACUACUUCUCAGUUAAAGUGGCUGAUAUACCUGGCCUGAUCAAAGGAGCACAUGAGAACCGUGGCCUGGGCCAUGCUUUCCUGAGGCACAUAGAGCGCACCAAAGUUAUUGCCUAUGUGCUUGACCUUGCAGCCACACUUAAUGGCAGGAAGGGUAUCCCGCCUUGGGAGCAGCUGCACGAUUUGGUCACAGAGCUGGAGCAUUACCAAAAAGGAAUGACUCGGCGGCCAUCACUGAUUGUGGCAAACAAGAUAGAUGAAGAGGGAGCUGAAGAGAUGUACGAGGAGCUGAAGAGGAGAGUGCAGGGUGUUCCAAUAUUUCCAGUUUGCGCCAUCUUGCAGGAGGGGGUGCCAGAUCUGAGAGUGGGUCUAAGGAACCUUAUGGAUGACUCAGAUCCGCAGGGCGUUGAUUUUGAGGAAAACGACUGUUAAAUGAGAGGACUAGGCAAGACCACCCUCGCUCAGCUCAUCUACAACGACCCUCAGGUCAAGGAGCACUUCCAUCUACUAAAGUGGGUAUGUGUGUCAGAUGAUUUCAGUGUCCGUAUUCUUGCCAACAAGAUAUGUAAUACAUCAGAGGCAGUCCUUGAGGAUGCACUAAAGAAGCUUCAGGAACAUCUUAAGGGAAAGAGGUACCUUCUUGUAUUGGAUGACAUCUGGUAUAAGGAUAUUGACAUUGAUAAGUGGAGAAAGCUGAAGGCAUGUCUUAUGCAAGGUGUCAGUUGCGCCGUAUUAGUGACGACACGUGAAAAACAAGUAGCCCAGUUAAUGGGUACUGUAGUUGACAACUCAUUGACAAAUAGUUACCAUGAAGUGGCAAUUUUGGGCAAGGAAUACAUACAAGAAAUUAUUGAAACGAGAGCAUUCAGUUUGAAGAAGAGCAAGCUAGAUGAUUUAGUUGAGUUGGUUAGUCUGAUUGCUGACAGAUGUGCGGGGUCUCCAUUGGCAGCAAAAGCAAUAGGGUCUGUACUGCGUAACAAGACCACUAAGGAGGAAUGGGAGGAUGUGUUACGGCGAAGCACCAUAUGUGAUGAUGAGACUGGAAUUUUGCCUAUACUCAAGCUUAGCUAUAAUGACUUGCCAAUUGACAUGAAGCAAUGUUUUGCCUUUUGUGCUCUAUGUCCAAAGGAUUAUCACAUUGAUAUGGACAAGCUUAUCCAGCUAUGGAUGGCCAAUGGUUUUAUCUCAGAUCGAAACAAGGUACCAGCUGAAACCGUAGGUAAAUGGAUUGUCAAUGAGAUGGUCUCAAGGUCAUUUUUCCAGUAUGAGGAGCAAAGAAGGAUCGGGUACAAUUCCACAACAUUUUUGAAGGUUCAUGACCUCAUGCAUGAUGUUGCACUGUCUGUUUCGAAAAAGGAGUGUGUCUGUAUAACAGAUGAAUUCAUCACAAAUAUGGAGUUGCUUCCAAGUGCUGCCCGCCACAUACUUAUUGAAACAUCGAUAGAGAAAGAGGUACAUGGUUAUUUGUAUGGUUCUAUGAGGGAAAUGUCUCGACCCAUCCAAACAUUGAUGUUUGACAGGUCUUGUGAUGAUGUCGUUGUGCAACAUUUAUCAAGAAUUAGUUCUUUGCGAGUACUUUCUAUGCCAUUAUGGUGUCAUUUGCCAAUAAAACUAAAGCAUCAGUGCCACCUUAGGUUCCUUCAUAUUACAAAUAGUAGCAUCAAAGAACUUCCAGAUGACAUAACCAUCCUUUAUAAUCUUCAGACACUUAAACUUUCUGGAUGUUUCAAUCUUAUUAGACUUCCUAAGAGAAUGAAGCACAUGAGUGCCCUUCGUCAUCUGUACACAGAUGGGUGCACGAGGUUGGAGUGCAUGCCUCCAGAGCUUGGACAAAUCACUUCGCUUCGAACAAUUACAUGGUUCGUAGUGGGAAGUGGCUUGAGUUGUAGUAGUCUUGCGGAGCUAAAGGAUUUAAAUAUUGGUGGUUCGUUAAAGCUAAAGCAACUCGAAAAUGUGCCAGCGGGGAGAAGAAAUGCAGAAGCAGCCAACCUUGUGAAUAAGAAGGAACUGAGACAACUGACACUAGAGUGGACAAGUGGUAAGGCGGAGGAAAAGCAGUGUCAUGAGGUGCUAGAGAGCCUUGAAGCUCAUGAUGGACUGCUGGCUCUUGAAAUAUAUUCCUACCAAGGCACCAGCUUUCCAUCUUGGAUGGGUAUGUUGAAAAACAUACUCGAGCUUCGGUUGUCUGAUUGUAGUAAAGCAGAGCAGCUUCCACCACUGUGUCAGCUAGCAGAAUUGCAACUCCUUCAUUUGGAAGGAUUGGGAAAUUUGCGGUUCCUGUGUAGCAGGUGUACAUCCUUGACAUUUGGAAAGCUUAAGGAUCUUAAGAUAGUUGGUCUUGACGUUUUUGAAGGAUUUUGUGAGACGGUGGAUGGAGGUGCAGUAGCAUUUCCUAAGCUUGAGAUAUUGCACAUUGAGCGCUGUGGAAAUCUAGCAGCUCUACCAAAAGCAUCGGUGCUGGGAGAAGCAUAUUGCGGUAGAGAUUAUACAGUGGCCCGCUCAGCAUUUCCAGAACUGAAGUGGCUCACAUUGGAAGAUUUGUGUAGCUUUGAGAGAUGGGAGGCUGCCCUUGAAAUUGAAGAAGGACAUGCGUUAUUCCCUGUGGUUGAGGUUGUUGUUAUCAGGAAAUGUCCAAAGUUAACAACUCUACUUAGGGCGCCAAAGGUCAAAGAACUAAGUAUACAUGAAGAAAACGAACAUAUCUCUGUAGGAGGGAUUAGAUGUAUGACGUCAUUGUCCACUUUGCAUUUGAUCGGCGUCAAGCCGGAUGGUAUGGAGAGGUGGGACCAUCCGUCAUCUGUGGUAGAUAUGAAACUGUGGAGGUGCAAUUUGUUCUUCCAAGUUCCAACCACGUGCACUGCCACUAUGGGUUUGCUUUGGGCAGCUGCAAGAUCUGUCAGUUACAGGAUGCAAAGAGCUUGUCUACUGGCCAGAGAAAGUAUUCCAAAGCUUGAUUUCAUUGCGGAUGCUAUGCAUUAGGUAUUGCAACAAUCUAAUUGGAUACGCAGUGGCAAAUGGUCCUGACCAGGCAACUUCAGGAAGGAACCAGCUUUUGCCCCAUCUAGAGUCUCUAGAGAUAGACACGUGUGAAAGUCUGGUAGAGGUAUUCAACCUCUCCCCUGCUCUCAAGAGGAUGGAAGUUGAAGGAUGUUGUAAGCUUGAGUCCCUAUAUGGAAAGCAAGAGUUGGAUGAAGAGGCUAGUAGAAGCGAUGACAUGACGGCAUCUGCACCUGUUGAGGAGAAGUUGUCACCUUCGGUGGCCCCAGAUAAGCCCCUUCCAUCAUCUCUAGAAUAUCUAUCAAUAUGGGAUUGCCACGGGUUGUCAGAGGUUGUCAAUCUUCCUUCGUCUCUGAGGGUAAUAAAUAUUAAACGUUGCUCCAGACUACGAGCCAUGUCAGGGCAGCUGGGUGCACUCAAGAGCUUACUAAUUGUCAACUGCCCGGAGUUGCGAUCACUAGAAACAUGCAUCGUAGAUCUCCCAUCACUGGAAAUCCUCUUUCUGUCUGUAUGGUUGUGAAAGCUUGGUAUCCUUGCCCAGGGCGCGGGCAGGAGGACCACAAGAAUACUCAUCUCUUCGUGAACUUACAAUUAGGAGGUGCCCAGGUGUAAAAUGGCUGCCUUCAGCUCUGCAGCAGCGACUGGACAACGGCCUCAUGGAUAAAACGGAUCUAGAUUUCCGUCUUUGUCAAGAUCGAUCUCCACGUCUGCUUGGGCGUUUCUGCUCCCAGCUUUAAUUUCUCAAGAGCCAAAUGUCGCCUUCGUGGAACGGCUUCGUCAGUGAUUAAUAUUACGGCAGCAACUCAUCUGCAGGGGCAUUGGGCAAGCAACAGACGAAGCAGAACAUCAUAGCAGAACGAAUCGAGAACAGCCGAACAUCAUAAAAAUUUAAGCAUAAAAAUCUUAUCUAGUAAACUAGUUAAGCUCAAAUUUGAACGGUCUACGUAUUCCCAAGAAAGCGGGUGAUCUUAUAUCUAGAAGUAGGGACGUAUGAUCCGAUACGCCUCUAUCCAAAGCCUGUACAGAGACAAGUGGGUUGGUUGUCAUGAGAACCCUAUCUAGCUUCUCAUGGGAGCUAUCUUACAAAUUUGAAAGGAGCUUGUCGCACUUUUUUGCUUCUUUCUCGA